AGAUUGAACGCUGGCGGCAGGCCUAACACAUGCAAGUCGAGCGGCAGCACGGGUACUUGUACCUGGUGGCGAGCGGCGGACGGGUGAGUAAUGCCUAGGAAUCUGCCUGGUAGUGGGGGAUAACGCUCGGAAACGGACGCUAAUACCGCAUACGUCCUACGGGAGAAAGCAGGGGACCUUCGGGCCUUGCGCUAUCAGAUGAGCCUAGGUCGAUUAGCUAGUUGGUGAGGUAUGGCUCACCAAGGCGACGAUCCGUAACUGGUCUGAGAGGAUGAUCAGUCACACUGGAACUGAGACACGGUCCAGACUCCGUACGGGAGCAGACGAGG
rnacentral:rRNA from 1 species